rnacentral:lncRNA from 1 species
UGAGCAGCAGAAAAUAGAAACUGUUCUAAUAGUAAUGAUAACAUUAAUAAACAAAAGAGACUAAUGUCGACGGUAAUUGGGUUGCAAGAAAAGCUGCUGCAGUGAGAGGGAAGCUAUUUCACUGCCCGUUUGACUUCAAUUGCUGUGAAGUGAGGGCAAAUGCCCUAGAAAUGUCGUAUUUUUAAGUGUCCACUGAAAAUUGCUACAAGCCCAGGCAUUGGCUGGUCUGCAGAUCCCUGAACUUGAGGACAGCAUUGCUUCACUUUCCUUCCUGACUGCUCACUGACUGUUUGUUGAGGCCACUGCAGUAGAAAGGCAGCUCCUUGAGAGCAGAGAAUAUGCCUGCCUGGUUCUACAUUGCAACUGUGUUGCCCAGCACAGAGCAUGGCACAUACUGAGUCCUUGGGACUUCAAGGGCAGAAGACAGCCAACUAGCCACCCACAGGCACUCUGAAGCCAGAUGUAGCCAUGAUCUCUACACAGAGGCGAGGAGAGGCUGAGCACGUGGUCCUCUCAGGUAGGAGGGAGAAGUGACUCCUCCUGGACCUGGGCUGAGCUGACCCCACAGCAGGCUGGAGUGAACUUGUAGCCAGAUAGUAACACCGUCCCCCACCCCCACAAUCCCCCUU